rnacentral:rRNA from 1 species
AUACGUAGGGGGCUAGCGUUGUCCGGAAUUACUGGGCGUAAAGGGCGUGUAGGCGGUUUGUCAAGUCAGGUGUGAAAUCUUAAGGCUCAACCUUAAGACUGCGCCUGAAACUGGCAGGCUUGAGGGCAGGAGAGGAGAGCGGAAUUCCCAGUGUAGCGGUGAAAUGCGUAGAUAUUGGGAGGAACACCAGUGGCGAAGGCGGCUCUCUGGACUGUACCUGACGCUGAGGCGCGAAAGCGUGGGGAGCAAACAGGAUUAGAUACCCUGGUAGUCCACGCCGUAAACUAUGGGUGCUAGGUGUUGGAGGUAUCGAACCCUCCAGUGCCGCAGCAAACGCAAUAAGCACCCCGCCUGGGGAGUACGGCCGCAAGGUUGAA